GACGAACUGUCCUAACGUUGUUCGGAAUCACUGGGCUUAAAGGGCGCGUAGGCGGUCGAUCAAGUCAGGGGUGAAAUCCUGCAGCUUAACUGUAGAAGUGCCUUUGAUACUGGUCGUCUCGAGGGAGGUAGGGGUGUGCGGAACUUCCAGUGGAGCGGUGAAAUGCGUUGAUAUUGGAAGGAACGCCGGAGGCGAAAGCGACGCACUGGACCUCUUCUGACGCUGAGGCGCGAAAGCUAGGGGAGCAAACGGG
rnacentral:rRNA from 1 species